rnacentral:rRNA from 1 species
GACAGAGGGUGCAAACGUUGUUCGGAAUUACUGGGCGUAAAGGGCGCGUAGGCGGGAUGGCAAGUCGGUCGUGAAAUCCCUCGGCUCAACCGAGGAACGUCGAUCGAUACUGCUGUUCUUGAGGAUUGCAGAGGAGACUGGAAUCCCCGGUGUAGCGGUGAAAUGUGUAGAGAUCGGGAGGAACACCGGUGGCGAAGGCGGGUCUCUGGGCAAUUCCUGACGCUGAGGCGCGAAAGCGUGGGGAGCAAACGGG